GAUGAACGCUGGCGGCGUGCCUAAUACAUGCAAGUCGAGCGAACAGACGAGGAGCUUGCUCCUCUGACGUUAGCGGCGGACGGGUGAGUAACACGUGGAUAACCUACCUAUAAGACUGGGAUAACUUCGGGAAACCGGAGCUAAUACCGGAUAAUAUAUUGAACCGCAUGGUUCAAUAGUGAAAGACGGUUUUGCUGUCACUUAUAGAUGGAUCCGCGCCGGAUUAGCUAGUUGGUAAGGUAACGGCUUACCAAGGCAACGAUGCGUAACCGACCUGAGAGGGUGAUCGGCCACACUGGAACUGAGACACGGUCCAGACUCCUACGGGAGGCAGCAGUAGGGAAUCUUCCGCAAUGGGCGAAAGCCUGACGGAGCAACGCCGCGUGAGUGAUGAAGGUCUUCGGAUCGUAAAACUCUGUUAUUAGGGAAGAACAAAUGUGUAAGUAACUAUGCACGUCUUGACGGUACCUAAUCAGAAAGCCACGGCUAACUACGUG
rnacentral:rRNA from 1 species